GCUGGCUUUGAGCAAAGAGGACAAACCUGCAGAUCUUAUCUCCCCUGGCCUAUUUGCAUUGAAGGCUGGACAAAAGCAGCAAUUCCAUAAAUCCAGGCUCUCCUGGAAGAAUGAGGAAGCUGCAGGGCUCAGGGAAGGCUGCGUUCCCUUUCCUGCUGAUGUGCCCCGAGCAAAUGCUGCUUUCCUGGCUGGUUGAUCUACUGGAUUCAGGGCAGGAAUUCCAGCGCCAGCGGCGUGGGCCGGCGGCGGAGCUGGAGAGCUGGAUCCCGCUGAGAGGAUGAAAACAUGGGGCUCAAGUUAUCCUGCCUGAAAGGCUUGAAGAUGUGUGUGAGCAGCGGGAACGGCAGCGACGGGACCCCGACCCCGGGACAGAAGCACCUGCACGUGCCCUCCAUCAUCGUCACGCCUCCCACGCCCACGGGCACCACGCUGUCCCGGCGUGGGGAGAGCCCCUCGCCCUGCAGCCCGUGCUGAGAGGGGACACGGGGGACACCCAGCCCGCCAGGACCUGUCCCUGCUCCCUCGGGAUGGAGCCACAGCCCCCAGGGCGCUGCUGCAGCUGCCAGGGACACGCGGGGCACCCACACGGGUGGGUUUGGACACCAGGGAUUGGAUUUUGUCCCUUUUCCUGACAGCGCCGGGGAGGGGAUCCCCCCACGGUGAAUAAAACCCUGGG